AAUAUUGUGUUUUUCCGACGAUAAGUUAGAAGAAAAUGAACAGACGAAUAAAGGAUAUGGAGACCUUACAGUUGAUGAUUUUAAUUCACCCAGAAAAGCCUUAGAUACUUAAUAAUGUCUAAUUCACACACACUUAUAAUGGUUGGCAUGAGCUGUGAAAAGAUAUAUUAUAUUGAAGAUGUAGGCUGUUAAUAAAUUUGUGGUGUCCUACAUAUGCAUACAUACAAAGUUUACUGGUCGUCAAAUACGUUCCCAUUCAUGGAAUUUACUUCUCAACAAGAAAAGACAAACUUCUUUGGAAGAAGGCUAAGCAAACACCAAUUACCUUCAAUUGAACUCUGAAUCAUCUUUUUGAAUAAAACUAUA